rnacentral:sRNA from 1 species
GCAAAGGCAAUGACGGGGAGCAGUAAGCGGCCGCGGUUUCUGCAGAGAGCCACCGGUGGGUGCAAGGUGGUGGACCGGUUGCCGAAUCUCGCCCCGGAGCUGUCCGGAGGAAGGAAAGUACUCCGGACCGGAGGGUGACCGUUAACACCGUCGAGUGGGUGAUGUUCAUGGGGCUGUGGCGCAGAGGGAGCGCGCUUCCUUGGCAUGGAAGAGGCCGCGGGUUCGAUUCCCGCCAGCUCCACCAUUACCAAUGAGGGUGGUACCGCGAGACAACCUCUCGUCCCUUUG